GAUGAAGAACGCAGCGAAAUGCGAUAAGUAAUGUGAAUUGCAGAAUUCAGUGAAUCAUCGAAUCUUUGAAAGCACAUUGCGCCCGCCAGUAUUCUGGCGGGCAUGCCUGUUCGAGCGUCAUUUCAACCAUCAAGCCCCCGGGCUUGUGUUGGGGACCUGCGGCUGCCGCAGGCCCCGAAAACCAGUGGCGGGCUCGCUGUCACCCCGAGCGUAGUAGUUUACACCUCGCCCAGGGCGUGCCGCGGGUUCCCGGCCGUUAAACCCCCCCAUACCACAAGGUUGACCUCGGAUCAGGUAGGAAGACCCGCUGAACUUAAGCAUAUCAAUAAGCGGAGGA
rnacentral:misc_RNA from 1 species